rnacentral:lncRNA from 1 species
GUGGGGUUUGUGGUACUCCAUCCUGGUUAUGGUUUGAACUUUUAUUUACUGAUGUGCGUCCUAUCGACGUUUUUCGCUUGUCAGACCAAGGCUUUUUCAUACUCUUUAAUGUUUUGAGUUUAAUUAUAUGUUUGCGGUUUACCUUCACCUCUGUUUCUUUCUAUGUGUAUUUUGAUGAAUACUCUUUGACGCGGCUCGGUAUUUAUACAUCCCACCAGUUA